rnacentral:rRNA from 1 species
GUUCAAGAGUACGUGAAACCGUUCAGGGGUAAACCUGAGAAACCCGAAAGGUCGAAUGGGGAAAUUCAUUCGCGUUUCGAUUGUAGGAGUUAAGCUGUCGUGUGACUGACGGGGUACGCUCCGUUAGCACCGUCGGUUUUUCGAACCGACUUCGAACGCGUGCACUUUUCCCCUAGUAGGACGUCGCGAUCCGUUGGGUGUCGGUCUAAGGGCUGUGGUGGAGCUCGCGUGGACGUUUCGACGUUUCGCACGAACCCGCAGUUUCCCGAUCGGCUCGCUCGACGGUAUAAAGAUGGCGCGAGGCCGCUACACAGUUAGCGUUCGACCUACGGCAAGCACGUACGGUGUUUGAUGGCGAUCAGACCUAGUCGGAUCCCGUCCCCGGACGACUGUUGGCACGUAGUGUUCUCGAACAGACCUCGUUGAAACGCCGAUCUGCGACGCUAUAGCUUUGGGUACUUUCAGGACCCGUCUUGAAACACGGA